GGUCAAGCGAAUAAGCGCACACGGUGGAUGCCUUGGCGGUCAGAGGCGAUGAAGGACGUGGCAGCCUGCGAAAAGUAUCGGGGAGCUGGCAACAAGCUUUGAUCCGGUAAUGUCCGAAUGGGGAAACCCACCCGCUUGCGGGUAUCCUGCAGUGAAUACAUAGCUGCUGGAAGCGAACCUGGUGAACUGAAAUAUCUAAGUAACCAGAGGAAAAGAAAUCAACCGAGAUUCCCUGAGUAGCGACGAGCGAACGGGGACUAGCCCUUAAGCUGGAAUGGUUCUAGAAAAACAGCCUGGAACGGCUGGCCAUAGAAGGUGAUAGCCCUGUAUUUAAAAGGGCCACUCCAGUGAAGACGAGUAGGGCGGGGCACGUGAAACCCUGUCUGAACAUGGGGGGACCAUCCUCCAAGGCUAAAUACUACUGACCGACCGAUAGUGAACCAGUACCGUGAGGGAAAGGCGAAAAGAACCCCGGAGAGGGGAGUGAAAUAGAUCCUGAAACCGUGUGCGUACAAGCAGUAGGAGCUCGAAAGAGUGACUGCGUACCUUUUGUAUAAUGGGUCAGCGACUUACUGUUCGUGGCAAGCUUAACCGUAUAGGGGAGGCGAAGGGAAACCGAGUCUGAUAAGGGCGCAUAGUCGCGGGCAGUAGACCCGAAACCGGGUGAUCUAGUCAUGCCCAGGGUGAAGGUGCGGUAACACGCACUGGAGGCCCGAACCCACUCCCGUUGCAAAGGUAGGGGAUGAGGUGUGAUUAGGAGUGAAAAGCUAAUCGAACCCGGAGAUAGCUGGUUCUCCUCGAAAGCUAUUUAGGUAGCGCCUCAUGUAUCACUGUAGGGGGUAGAGCACUGUUUCGGCUAGGGGGUCAUCCCGACUUACCAAACCGAUGCAAACUCCGAAUACCUACAAGUGCCGAGCAUGGGAGACACACGGCGGGUGCUAACGUCCGUCGUGAAAAGGGAAACAACCCAGACCGUCAGCUAAGGUCCCAAAGUUAUGGUUAAGUGGGAAACGAUGUGGGAAGGCUUAGACAGCUAGGAGGUUGGCUUAGAAGCAGCCA
rnacentral:ncRNA from 1 species